rnacentral:rRNA from 1 species
GAACACGGAAGUUAAGCCUGCCAGCGCCGAUGGUACUUGGGGGAAGACCCCCUGGGAGAGUAGGACGCCGCCAGAU